CCUACGGGGGGCUGCAGUGAGGAAUAUUGGUCAAUGGGCGGGAGCCUGAACCAGCCAAGUCGCGUGAGGGAAGACGGUCCUAUGGAUUGUAAACCUCUUUAGGCGGGGAGCAAUGCCGGGCACGCGUGCCCGGAGGGAGAGUACCCGCAGAAUCAGCAUCGGCUAACUCCGUGCCAGCAGCCGCGGUAAUACGGAGGAUGCGAGCGUUAUCCGGAUUUAUGGGGUGUAAAGGGCGUGCAGGCGGGAAUACAAGGCAGAUGUGAAAUCCCGCGGCUUAACCGCGGAACUGCAUUUGAAACUGUUUUUCUUGAGUACCGGAGAGGUAGUCGGAAUUCCUUGUGUAGCGGUGAAAUGCGUAGAUAUAAGGAAGAACACCAGGGGCGAAGGCGGAUGACUGGACGGCAACUGACGGUGAGGCGCGAAAGCGUGGGGAGCAAACAGGAUUAGAUACCCCGGUAGUC
rnacentral:rRNA from 1 species